UACGAAGGGGGCUAGCGUUGUUCGGAAUUACUGGGCGUAAAGCGCGCGCAGGCGGCUAUCCAAGUCAGGGGUGAAAUCCUGGAGCUCAACUCCAGAACUGCCUUUGAUACUGAGGAUCUUGAGUUCGGGAGAGGUGAGUGGAACUGCGAGUGUAGAGGUGAAAUUCGUAGAUAUUCGCAAGAACACCAGUGGCGAAGGCGGCUCACUGGCCCGAUACUGACGCUGAGGCACGAAAGCGUGGGGAGCAAACAGG
rnacentral:rRNA from 1 species